rnacentral:lncRNA from 1 species
GGAAGAACCAUUUUAAGCAUGUGAGGUACUUGCAUUAGAGGUACACCAGCUGACCCAUAGCCACGCCUCCUAUGCAUGUGGCACUCAGUUUCCUUUCCCAAGAAGGCUUAGGCAUUUUUGCACCACCCAGUUCUAGAGAGAGCAGAGGUAAAUGAGACAACGCUGAAGAUCCCAAGGGGAUGAUUUCCUCCACAAAACUGUAACAGAGAAAAAGUGAUGUACUCAUGUUGUGGAAAGGAGUUCAUUCCUUCUCCUACCUGUGUUUAUUUUCUAUUGAUUGGCUGUGGUUAGGAGGGUGGUAGCUCUUCACUGUAAUUCACAUUCUGCCUGAGUCCAGAUUGUUCUUGGCCCCAGCUGGAAGCGUACUUAUUGUGUCAGCAAGAAUCCAGUGGGCUCUGGAGUGUGACCUGCUACUGGGUAGAAAUUGAACAAAAGCAUUCUUUGCUAUUAUACCUGGGUUGUUCUUCACUGUUCCCUGGGAAUCUGUUACGGAAAUUAUGCUGAGCUAAUAAUUCUGAUGGGAUGAUCUUCACUCAUGCAGACUGUGGCGUCAUGUAGAAGGAAGGCUAAUAUGGAUGUGAGGUUCAAGAUCAAGAUGGGCAACUGAUGGUCAGACUCCAGUGGUUCUUCAAAACUUUCUAGGAGGUAAACAAGAUGAAAGGGAAAGCACACAAAUUUGCUGGAAUUUGGAAAACACGAACCCUGGAAUUUGGAGGAGUCACUUCCACUGGAAAAUACUUUUAUAUUAUUUAUAGUGGCUACCAUUACUGUGCUCACUUUACAGGUGAGGUUCAGAGAUUUAUGUAACAUGCCAAAGGUCACACAGCUGGACACAGCAGAACCAAGAUUCAAAUCUGCACAGGACAUCUUGAAAAGACUAUCAUCUGUAAACCAGGAAGAGGGCCCUUUUCAGACACUGAAUCUUCUGGUACCUUGCUUUUGGACAUUCCAG